AGAAAACUAAAAAGACUAUGGUUUCAAUUAGAUAGCCUUGUAUAUUGCAUACAAGCAGUGUCAUUUCUAUCUCAGGAAAGCAAAGAAGAUGACAAAAAUCAUCACUCAUUUAACAACAAAAAUUACGGAAUUUGGUGGGGGGGUUUGUAAUGCAUCCCCUAGCCCCCUACUACAAUCAGGGUAAAAAACAAUUUACACACAAAAUUUGACAAUAUAUCUAUCUAUAUCUAUAUCUAUGCUUUCUUGUGAAUAUAGGCCUUUCCCUUUUACCAGCUACAGCCAGAAUAUAAAUGGAAAUGCCAAUUAAAUUUACAAAAUAUGGAACUAAUUCCUAUAUAUAAUAAGCAAGAUGGACAGUAGAAGAAUAUCCUAUGCAGCAAGAAAUCAAUCUGUAAUCACGUUCAAGCCACGAAGAUGAUGAACACCAUCAGGAAAAAUACUAUAACAGCAAAUAACUUGAUUAAAAGCCACCUAUUUGAUGAUAUUUGGUUGAGAUGCCUCAAUAGAGCACUGCGAGCACUUUCAACGUUUGCCAAUGACUCGUCCAUAUUAUCAUCAAUCCUGUUGCAUCAAUCAGGUAGAUUGCAUCAAACAUGAAAAAUUCUUAUUAAUAGAUGAAUAUUGAAUGCUACAAAAAGAACAGAUGAAAUCUUAUUCUCCAAGUUUUUGUGUUAAUGACCAAAAGGUCCAAGCCUUGGGUCAGAUUUUCAAUUGCGGCCACCUCCUUUUUAUUUUUUAAAGGAUAUCAUCACACUUUCGUUGUUGUUUCAACUGUGGCCAGUAUUAAGAUCCAUGGAUGUGUACCAAUAGCUGCCUGGUUGGCUGAUGUUGGUAUGGCACACCCUAGACCUAGAGAUCCGAAGCUGGCCAAAAUUAAAAUAAACAAUGGUAGUAGCUAUUAAAUGUUGAUGAUAUAAUUAAGAAGUGGCUAAAACUGGAAAUCCAAUCAAAAUUCUGGUUUUUUAUCAUUAACCAUUUCUUUUAUUAGAAAUCAAAAGCUAAAAGAAUUAAGAACUUUUCACAUCUAAAUAAAUAGAACACAAACAUCAUAUAUCCAAGCAAAACAUGCAGACCUAAUAGCAAGCUCCCCUUGCUGUGCAACCAUUGUAGCCAAAUGUGUGAAGAUUCCACUAAGUUCUGAAAUUGUAGAUUCCACAUUAUGAAGAGCAACUGCCCGACUUUGAGUAUAGUUCUCCUGUCUUGGAAUAACCUGCUGUAACAUGGACAUUUCCAUAUGGGAAGAAGAAGUGUUGUCCACAGCUGGCCUCCGCCUCAAUUGAUUGCCAACUUGAACACCAGCUGGUGGCAUUGCAGAUGGCUGUGCAGUCCCAAAUGAAUUUGCCGAACUUGACCAAGGUGGUGGCUCAGUCACGGGUUUUGCUUGAUGCACAAAAGGAUUCUCUCUCGAAGCAUUUGAGGAAAAUAUCUGUUUCCUGUUCUCAUGAGCCUUGAUAUUCUCUGUUCUAGUAGUUAACACAUCUUGGAGCUCUUUAGUCGCCCCCAUAAGUUUGCUUUUCAAGUCAUCGCAGACAGCAGUGGAAUGAACAACUCUAUCCUGCGAAUAGUUCCCAUCAGCUAUCUCCAUGUUUUGAAGGGUUUGCAGAUCUGUGAGAGCUGUAUUCAAUGCUGUAAUGUCAUUCUUUAUCAGGGAAGUUAGUUCCUGUAUUUCAAUUGUUGGAUCAUCAAACAUUGAUGACCUUUUCGCAAGCUUGGUAAGCCUAGAGAUCUUCUGUGAGGCUUCAUGGAUGCCCAAACCGAUAAUCGAAGCCUUUUUGUUGAACUCGGAUCUUGAAGAGAGUGAUAACGCGUGUGGUUUCAAAGAAGAAGGAUCAUGUUCAUGGUUAAUGGAUAUGACUCCUUCGAUCUUCUUCAGCGUUUGGGUUAGUGAUCGGAACUCCGCCGUCCGAUCUCUGUACGUGGAGGCCAUCGGGUGAGACUUUGCGAUGGCUACCACCAGUGGAAAUGAGCUGUGG
rnacentral:misc_RNA from 1 species